AUACGGAGGGUGCAAGCGUUAAUCGGAAUUACUGGGCGUAAAGCGUACGUAGGUGGUUCGUUAAGUUAGAUGUGAAAGCCCCGGGCUUAACCUGGGAACUGCAUUUAAAACUGGCGGACUAGAGUUGAGUAGAGGGGAGUGGAAUUUCAGGUGUAGCGGUGAAAUGCGUAGAGAUCUGAAGGAACACCAGUGGCGAAGGCGACUCCCUGGACUCGAACUGACGCUGAGGUACGAAAGCGUGGGUAGCAAACGGGAUUAGAUACCCCGGUAGUCC
rnacentral:rRNA from 1 species